rnacentral:rRNA from 1 species
AGUUCUUUCGGGAACUAGAGACCGGCGCACGGGUGCGUAACGCGUAUGCAACUUGCCCUACUGAAAAGGAUAGCCCUUCGAAAGGAGGAUUAAUACUUUAUAACAGAUUUAAUGGCAUCAUGAGAUUUUGAAAGAUUUAUCGCAGUAGGAUAGGCAUGCGUAAGAUUAGUUAGUUGGUGAGGUAACGGCUCACCAAGACGAUGAUCUUUAGGGGGCCUGAGAGGGUGAACCCCCACACUGGUACUGAGACACGGACCAGACUCCUACGGGAGGCAGCAGUGAGGAAUAUUGGACAAUGGGUGGAAGCCUGAUCCAGCCAUCCCGCGUGUAGGAUGACGGCCUUAUGGGUUGUAAACUACUUUUAUCUGGGGAUAAACCUACUUACGUGUAAGUAGCUGAAGGUACCAGAAGAAUAAGCACCGGCUAACUCCGUGCCAGCAGCCGCGGUAAUACGGAGGGUGCAAGCGUUAUCCGGAUUUAUUGGGUUUAAAGGGUCCGUAGGCGGAUUAAUCAGUCAGUGGUGAAAUCUCAUAGCUUAACUAUGAAACUGCCAUUGAUACUGUUAGUCUUGAGUGAUGUUGAAGUUGCUG